AACGAACGCUGGCGGCGCGCCUAAUACAUGCAAGUCGAACGAGAAGGUGUAGCAAUACACUUGCACAGUGGCGAACGGGUGAGGAAUGCAUGGGUAACCUACCCUCGAGUGGGGAAUAACCAGCCGAAAGGUUGGCUAAUACCGCGUACGUUUCCCGGUCUGCGGAUCGGGAAAGAAAGUCAUACCAUGGGUAUGACGCUCAAGGAUGGGCUCAUGUCCUAUCAGCNGUUGGUAGGGUAACGGCCUACCAAGGCUCCGACGGGUAGCCUGGUCUGAGAGGGACGAUCAGCCACACUGGCACUGCGACACGGGCCAGGACUCCUACGGGAGGCAGCAGUAAGGAUAUUGC
rnacentral:rRNA from 1 species